rnacentral:lncRNA from 10 species
AGUGAAGGAGCAAAGGGGACUCGGCCGCCAUGUUAGGAGUACUGGGACGAUUCCGCGGAGCCGGGCAGAGGUUUUAGGGGAAUGAUUAACAAAGGCGUCCGAAGAAAUCGUUGUUGGAAGGUGACCAAGGUGGAAAGAGACGUUGCUUUGGCCCUGCAAGUAAGAAGAGAGAGGGAAUAGCCUGAAGGAGUAACACUAAAUUUAAAAUGACACUUUUUUACCAACCAGCGAAAGCAGAUGUUCAAAGGGGAUAUUGGCCAGAGUCUGUCACACUAAGAUGAGAAAUGUCCUUUCUUCCUGAAGGUGUCUGAUGUGUAAAAAUAUGAUAUACUUUGUGCUGUUUCCUCCCUUCCCUUUUGCAUAUUAUUCUGAAACAACAUUAACUAGUUACUUUGCGUCAUUGAAGGUAUGCACUUCCCCUCUAUGUUAGGAGUGAAUAAAAUUAAAAAUAGAUCCUUAUAACAAAGAAAGGCAGAUAGAAUGAUUAAAAAUGACCAAAACAUGUUAGAAACAGUCUCUCAGGUGUAUGCAGAUGGUAAUUACAAAAAUACUUUUUCAAAAAAUGAUCUUCUGUGUCAUGUUUCUGGGAACAAGUCAAGAUGAAUGAGUUUGAUUUUUAAGCAGAAGUAGUAUGUGUUGGUGUCAUCCAUGAAUACAACAAUGAAAAAGGCUCAAAGUUGUUGUUAUUCAGAAACUUCUCUAAGUAAUGGUGGUAAGUACAGGAAAAGGAGCAAUGUCUACCAUUUUCUUUCUAACCUUCGAUUUAACUAUUGUAAUGUUGUAAGCUUAACAGAGACUUACACUUAGGCUUAAUUUCAAGCUCUUCAAUCAUUUUUCCCGGUUGGUGAUUCAGGUGUAUUCUCAUGUCUUAUGUAAACUUAUCAUGAGUGUUGUUGAUUUAUAAUAUAUUUCUUUAUGUAAGCCAUAGCCUUGUCAGUUUGAGUUAUAUGGAAGACAAAUUGUAGGGAAAAAGAGCAACAGAUUACUCAGAAACCUUCUGUGUGAGCUGGGCAUAGUAGUGCAUGCCAGUAGGCUUAGCUACUUGGGAGGCUGAGGCAGGAGGAUCACUUGAUCCCAUUAGUUUGAGGCUGCAGUGAGCUAUGAUUGUGUCACUGUACUCCAAUCUGGACAACAGUGAGACUAUGUCUGUUUUUAAAAAAGAAAGAAAGCUUGUGUUUGAGAAGUGAUACCUCUAGAAUACAGUGAUUUCUAUAAUUUGUCAUGUGUUUGGGUAGUUUGAAGUUUUUCUAUCCUUGUAUCUAAUGGACAUCUGACCAUAAAGAUGAAAAAAUCCUGCACUCAUUAUAAAUUUUAUUUAUAAAAUUGAUAUUUGAGGAGUUGGGGAGGCCAGCUUCUGAAAAAAUAACAGUGUCCCAUAGAAACACCACAACUUAGGAAAAUAUUGUUAAAGUGGAAUUAGGAAUAUCUAGAGGAGGUAAAGCUUUUCAUCUCUCAAAAAAGAAUUAGGGCCAGGCACAGUGGCUGACACCUGUAAUCCUAGCACUUUGGGAGGCCGAGAUGGGCACAUCACUUGGGGCCAGGAGUUCAAGACCAGCCUGGCCAACAUGGCGAAACCCCAUCUCCAAGAAAUAGAAAAGUUAGCCAGGUGUGGUGGCGUGCGCCUGUAAUACCAGCUACUAGGGUGGCUGAGGCAGGAGAAUCGCUUGAACUGGGGAGGUGGAGGUGGCAGUGAGCAGAGAUUGAGCCACUGUACUCCAGCCUGGGCAACAGCAAGACCCUAUCUCAAAAAAAUAAUAAAGAGAAUUAGGACAUGGAUUUGUAUUAAAAUUAUAGGUAGCUCAUUUAAGAGUAUGAAGCCAAUUGCUGUUAGAGCAAGGGUUUUUUUCAGUAGAGGUGUCAGGAUAACCUAUACAGCUCUAAAAGUAUAUGGCUGUUACCUUCCCAUCCCUGUUGAAAUCUCCAGGGUUAGAACCAAGUAUUGUGUUUUUAAAACUAUAGGUGAGUCUACAAGAGUUGGGUGGAGUAGUCCUCUACAUCCUGUGUUUGUAUUUUUGCAGUAAGUCACACAAUAACAAAAGCUUUGAGAAAGAUUUUAGGUUUAUUGCUAAUUAUACCCAUGAAUGAAUUCUGAAAAUGUGUAGAUAAGGAAUUUACCUGGUGAACGGUUUACACAUGGCAAUUGUGGGAGGGAGAGGGGAGUGAGAGGAGAUGAGAUCAGUUUUAGCUUUAAGAGGACCAACCGGGCCAAGCACGGUGGCUCACGCCUGUAAUCCCAGCACUUUGGGGCCGAGGUGGGUGGAUCACGAGGUCAGCAGUUCAAGACCAGCCUGACCAACAUGGUGAAACCCCGUCUCUACUAAACAUACAAAAAAUUAACUGAGUGUGGUGGCGGGUGCCUGUAAUCCCAGCGACUUGGGAGGCUGAGGCAGGAGAAUCGCUUGAAACUGGAAGGCGGAGGUUGCAGUGAUCCGAGAUUGUGCUAAUGCACUCUAGCCCGGGCAAUAACAGCAAAACUCCCGUUUAAAAAAAAAAAAAAAAAAGGGACCAACCAUGAUAUCCUGACUAACCUGUAUAUUUCUUAGAAUGAGGGUUUAGCCUAAUAUUAAGAAAGUCUAAUGUUAAGAGACACCUAGUAAGAGCUCAACGCUGUGGUAAAAUUAUGAUAGUUAUGCAGAAACUUAAAAGCUGAAGUAUCCAGAGACAAUAUAUUGUUUAGAAUUUUCUGAAAAUAAAAAUUUUCUUGCCCUAAGUCUUGAAUUUUUAAGUUAUUGAUGUUAAUAUUUAUGAUCUUUGAACAAAUGAUAUUAUAAUAGAGUAUCUUUUAGGUCACAGAGACCCCUUUUUAGAGCUGAGAAAUCUUACAAAUUCCUCAGCCCAUGUUUUACAGAUAAGGAAAUGGGCAUGCACACAGUGAAAUUAAAAAUUGCUAGUGGUCACACUGUACAUUGAUGGCAAAGGCAGGGCAGAAUUAGAAUCCAAUUAUCUUACCUGUUCAGUGUCUUUAAUGAUACAGCAAGCUCACCACUGUUUCUCUUUACUCUUUAAACAGUGGAUUUUUUUUGUCAUGAUUUUGAUUUCUUGUAUAAUGCAGUUCAAUACUUGUUUAAUUUUAAUGUUGGACUCUCAAUUUUUAAGACAGUAGUACACAUGAAAUGUGCUUUAUAUUUUAUGUUUCAACAAGAAAAUACACAUUUUCCUUUUAAUAGAGGAGCUUAAGUUCCUAAUUUAAAUAAUUGAGUAUGAGCUUCAGAUACUUCAGAGUGGUAUUAAUAAACUUUGCUUUUCCAAAUGGUUUCAGAUAAGCAUUUAAUAUUCAAAGCUUCCUCUUUACAGCUUAGGAAGUGGUCUGGUUAAGUGACUUGAGUUCAUACAGGAAUAUAUCGGUAUGUUCCUAAUUCCCAUCAAGUGUACCAUUAUGUAAUCAUAUAAUCUUGCUAACAGAUCUAACAGAUUACUUUUUUUUUUUUUUUUUUUUUGAGACAGAGCCUUGCUCUGUCGCCCAGGCUGGAGUGCAGUGGCGCGAUCUCUACUCACUGUAACCUCCGCCUCCCAGGUUCAAGCAAUUCUUCUGCCUCGGCCUCCCAAGUAGCUGGGACUACAGGCAGGCACUACCACACCCGGCUAAUUUUUGUAUGUUUAGUAGAGACGGGGUUUCACCAUGUUGGCCAGGCUGGUCUGGAACUCUUGACCUCAAGUGAUCCGUCUGCCUCUGCCUCCCAAAGUGCUGGGAUUAUAGGAGUGAGCCACUAUGCCUGUCCUCUAGGGAAAAUCUUUAAUUCAUUCUGGACAAUGAGAAAACUUUUAUUUUUACUUUUAGUUAACAAUACUCAGGAAAAUAAAAAGUGUGCUUUUUAAUCUUAGUAACCCAAUUUGAGUUUGAAACAAAUUUACAUAAUUUUAGCUGCUUAAUAUGCUGCUGAAGAUAAAUGCAGUAAAUAUCCCAAGGUCAAGAUUUGAAAUCCAAAUGUCCAUAGUAAUGAUUAACAGGAAAAGAGAGUCCUCUGUUAACUUUAUUUCUCAAUUUUUUACAGGUUUGGAUAAUUAAGGGAGCACUAGAAAACUUUUUUUUUUUUUUUUGAGAUGGAGUCUGUUGCCCAGGCUGGAGUACAGUGGUACGGUCUCGACUCACUGCAAUCUCCGCUCCUGGGUUCAAGUGAUUUCUCUUGCCUCAGUCUCCUGACUAGCUGGGAUUUACAGGCGCAUGCCACCAUGCCCAGCUAAUUUUUGUAUUUUUAUUAGAGACGGGUUUCAUCAUGUUGGUCAGGCUGGUCUCAAACUCCUGACCUCGUGAUCCACCCGCCUCGGCCUCCCAAAGUGCUGGGAUUACAGGUGUGAGCCACCGUGCCCAGCCGAAAAUGUUUCUUUGCAAGGAUAAAUAUAUGAAGAUAAACUUGCCGAGCGUAAAUAUGUUCAUGAAUAUAGCCACUUAAGGAAAUUCAAACAUGCAGAGAUGUUCAGCUGUAUGCAGUUAUGUAUUCAUGAAGUAUUCAUGUAUUCAUGAAGCCUUAUUUGAUGUAGAAUCUGAGGGUGCUGCCUAUACAUAAACUUGCUUAAAGGUUAAAACUUAAGGAAUGUUCAUCAAAGUCACUUUCUUACACCUAACUCCUGAUUUCAUGAAUAUAACACAUAGGUGCUUAUCAAACUGAAUACCUUGGAGAUGAGCUGCUCCAGCACCAGAAGAUAAAAUUCAGUAACUGUAAUCCUUGAGGUACCUAAGUGAUACAUUUUUUUUAAGACUGAGCCAAAAUAAAACAGCUUUCCUCCUUCCCUACCCUCUCCGACCAAACUUUUAGCCAUUUUAUUUAUUUAUUUAUUUGAGAUGGGGUCUAGCCAUGUGGAGUGCAGUGGCUAUUCACAAGCAUGAUCAUAGCAAAUGACAGCCACAGACUCCUGGGUUCGAGCAAUCCUGCCUCAGCCACUCAAGUAACUAGGACUACAGGCGUAUACUGGGGCUUCUAGCCAUUUAUAUGGUAUUAAGUGACAGCUUCUAUAGUUACUUGGUACUUGUCCCUGUAAAACUGCACAGUGUGUAUUCUCUUGGCUCAAUUAUUAGCAUAUUCUGCCAUUUCCUUGUGAAUGUUUUGUAUUUUAUAUAGGAAAACUUAAGUUUUUAAAUAUCCUGAAAUAACUGAAGAAUUUUGUUUUUGCCUUUAAGUGGUAAUGUAUAAAGUAUACUAUUGCAGAGAUACUUACAGAGUGCUUUCAUUGCAAUUAAAAUACUGCAGCUAACUAGCAUGUUCCAUAUGUGUAAUCUAAAUGACAUACUGGUCAUGUGCUAUUUCUAUGGAAUACUAACAGUAGUAUGGUACAUUUAUGCAGUCUCAACAGUUUAAAGUGUUAUUUUGGUGAUAAACUGUUUACAUUUAUUUGUUUUUAUAUUUGGCAGUCUAAAUGCAAGAGUCUCCAUUUCAGCUCUUUACUCUGCAUAUCUUUAAUGUUGGGCAUUAUGCCUCUUUCUUGAGUUUCAGUCCUAUGACUGUUCCAUUUUCAGUAUUCAUGUUUAUGUGUCUUUCUAAAAUUGUUUUGCUUCUGUUUCUUGCUGCUCUUGAGACAAUUUAUGGGCAAAUUUUGUUACUUUUCAACUGGCCGUGUAUUUCCCUGUGAAGAGUUGCUGGAUUGUCUCAUUUUCCAGAUAAACUGAAUUAAUGUAGUAGUGAGGAGAAGCCAGAUUUCAGAGGUUUGACAAGUGAACAAAUGGGAAUGAGAAAAGAAGUAGGUACUUAAACUUUUAAGAAGUUUGGCUCUGAAAAAGGCAAGAAAUAAUGGGUUAGAGAGGGCAGGAUUGUAAGGAUUUAAGAUAGGAGAAGAGGCAUAAGCAUAUUUAAAUUUCCCUACUUAAGGGCCAAAAUCAUACUGUACCUCAGUCUGAACUUUUUAAAGGAAUUCAAGGACACAAAAUUCUGCCCUGCCCUGAAAUCCAGUCAGGAGGAAGGGAGAAGAGCUCUGAAGUACUUUUGUAAUUUUCUUCUACAUAAUAAUUGAUUUUUGUUUGAUUAUUUUUCUUUCCUAUAGCUCCUGUUUGCCAGGUUUUUCAUAGCUGCCUAUUUAACCAAACUUGUACUCCCAAGAAUAGUGCAUAUUUAUGAUUCUUAAUUCCAAAAACACAUGGCAAUGAUAAUGUCUCUGCUUCUUUUGAGAAAUUAACUUGGUUCUGAAAGAUGGUGUUUGCUUUUCACACCUGUAUCAUUAAUACUUCCUUGCCAAACCUAACUAGGAUCCUCACCACCACUGUUAGAGAAAACUGAUGCUCAGUUGAACCAGAAUGUUAAAUGUGAACAGGAUUUGUCUGUGUUGUUGCCCAGCUAUGUUUAUCCAUACACAUUACCUGGAGGAAGAGAAAUCUGAGAUAAUUGAGUUGAUUAGAUUACUUACAUGAAGAUGGUUUAAUUGUAUCAAUACAGAAAAAUGCACAAGGAAAGAAACUGACACCUUAAGGCAACAAAGCCCUCCAUAAAAAGUAACCGAAUUUUGAGAGUUACGAACUAAUGUCCAUUACCUGAAGUCCUUCUCAUUCCAUUACCCAGUAACAUAAAUCAAAUUCAGUAAAUAAGCUGCUUUAUGUCUUGAGAAAUUUAACUGGCAGAAUAAAUGGAAAGAAGUCAGUAAAAAGGGAGCAGUUGAACAAGCAUGGUGUCUCACACCAAUAACCCCAGCACUUUGGGAGGCCGAGGCAGGUGAAUCACUUGAGGUCAGAAGUUCAAGACCAACCUGGCCAACAUGGUGAAAACCCAUCUCUACUAAAAAUGCAAAAAUUAGCUGGGCUUGGUGGCAGGUGCUUGUAAUCCCAGCUACUCAGGAGGCUGAGGCAGGAGAGUCACUUAAAACCCAGGAGGCAGAGGCAGUGAGCUGAGAUCGUGCCACUGUACCCCAUCCUGGGCAACAGGACGAGGCUCCAUCUCAGGGAAAAAAAAAAAGAAAAAGCUGAGCAUGGCGGCAUGUGCCUGUAGUCUUAGCUACUCAGGAGGCUGAGGCAGGAGGAUCACUUGAGCCCAGGAGUCGUAGGUUGCAGUGGUGCCAUUGUGUUCCAGCCUGGGUAAGAGUAAGGCCCUGUUUCAGUAAAAAGAAGGGAGUAACCAAGACAGGUAGGGAUUCAGUAUAAUAAAAGUCAAAAGUAGUUGUUUAUUACUAGAGCCUGGCACUGUAACCUGGUAUGUCCAAAUGUGAUUUAAUUUGCUCUCAAGAUGUGCACCAGAAGAAAUAACCCGAGGCAUUUCAAAGAAAAAACAAAAUGUGACCUGCUAGUUCUGUUACUCUGCCACAAGUUAACACAUUUUGAACUUAAGUGCAGAGUCCCAUACAUCCAGUGUGACUCCCCAAAUCUCAAAAAUUUAGGCUAAAACCUAAUUUUGUGUCCAAGCCAGUGCCUGCUUGUUCCUGCUGAAUUUAAAACUUUGGGUCCAGCAAUCUUCUAUCGCUGGAGGGAGGGAGAGGUAUGAAAAUAAUGUUUAAUGGUAAUUGUUUAUUGUCAUGGGCCCAUAUUAUACCCAGAUUUAGAGAGCUAUUUGACACACCUGUAACCUAAUGUUUAUUUUAACUUAAUAUCUGCUCAGUCAGGUAAGAGAUGCAACUUCACAGAGGUCCAUUUAACGUGCCUAAACCUAAGUAGAAACACAAAAGCUAUGUAUAGUCCCUUGUUUGAGAUAACACUAAAUUUUUAGAGAAUAGCUUGGUACUGUGGUAGACAGAGUUCACUUAAAAUGCAUUUAACAAUUUACAGAUAACUGGAAAGUAAUUCAUUCAUCUUAGAACCCUGGUAGGGACAUUCUAUUAAAAUAUUUGUGUACUAGUUAAAGUCAAAAUAGAAAUACAGCCUAUCACACGGUAUUUAUACUAUGCAUUAUGAUUAAUAAAGCCACCUAAGGUCGUUACUCCAUGAUCAUGGGAAGUUGUUAGUCAUUAAGAGUUCGGGUUUAGCAACAAAAAUCUUGCGUUUGAAUCUAAACACAUUACAUGAUUUUAAGCAUGUUCAUCAUUCUGAGAUUAAAUAAAAAUUAAGGAAAUAUAUGAAAAAUGCUUAAUAAGUACCCAAAAGGUAAUAUGGUGUAGCAACUUAGAAUGUAGACUUCAGAGCCAGUCAGCUAGGAUUAAAAUGACACUUCGGCCAAUCACUGUUGACUAUAAGCAAGUUAUUUAACUCUGCCUCAGUUUUGUCUGUGAAGUAGGGAUAAAAUCUUCCUCGCUAGGUUGCUAUAAGAAUUAAAUGGAUAUAUUAAGUACUAUCAUGUGAGAUCACUUUAUUUGAGGCUAAAAAAAUUUUUUUUAACUAGGAUUCACUGAAAAUACAUCUAUAAAAAAGCCACUCUUUAUCAUGAGAAGUAUGAUUUUCUGUACCUUAGGUGUUAUAAAGCAAUAUCCCCUCAGUUUUAACUUUACCAAAAUACCUGUCUUAGUAAAUGAUACUAUAUAUACCAAAUAUUGCAUAUGUGUAUAUAAACUUCAACUGUCUACUUCUAUCACUGACAGUUUAAAAAUUGAGAUAAAGUAAGUAUUAUCUGAGUAAUAUAACCAUUUUCUAUUUAUUUAUUUAUUUAGAAACAGUCUCACUCUGUCACCCAGGCUGGAGUGCAAUGGCUCGGUCUCAGCUCACUGCAACCUCCGCCUCCUGGAUUCAGGCAGUUCCCCCACCCCACCCUCCCGAGUAGCAGAGACGGGGUUUCACUGUGUUGGCCAGGCUGGUCUCGAACUCCUGACCUUGUGGUCUGCCCGCCUCGGCCCCCCAAAGUGCUGGGAUUACAGGCGUGAGCCACCGCACCCAGCCAAUCUAACCAUUUUCAAGAUUUGAUCUGCAAAUACCUGAAGUAAGUACAAGCACUGUGGCCCAGUUAAAGAGUGUUAGAACUGUAAGAAGUCCAAAGGCAUAGCUAAGAAUUGCUUUAGAGUCAGUUGUGGGUUCUGAAUUCUUGCUCUGAUAGUUAGCAACUAUGUCUACUUUGGCAAAUUUAGGUUUUGAAGCCUUCCAUAUCUUUAAAAGGAGGUAACAUUUAACAGAGCACCAAAUACAAGGUUUUCUGUAAUAUUAGUUCCAUAGCAUGGUCUGCAAACUUCCAACAUCAGAAUCUCCUGGGAUAUAUGCUAAAUGCAGAUUCUGGUUUCCCAACCAGAAUAUACUGCUUAAAAAUCUGAGGGUUAGUUCUAGGAAUCUGCAUUUUUUUCUAUACAAUGUAUGUAUUAGGGUUCCCUGGAGGGACAGAACUAAUAGGAGAUACAUAUAUAUACACACAUAUAUUUAUUAAGUUUAUUGAGAACUUACACGAUCACAAGGUCCCACAGUAGGCUGGCUGCAAGCUUGAGGAAAAGAGAGAGCCAGAGUCUGAGUCUGAAAACUGAAGAACUUGGGGGUCCAGUGUCUGAGGGCAGGAAGCAUCCAGCGUGGGAGAAGGAUGGAAGCUGGGAGGCUAGGCCAGUCUCUCCUCUUCACGUUUUUCUGCGUGCUUAUAUUCUACCUAUGCUGGUAGCUGAUUAGACUGUGCCCACCAGAUUGAGAGUGGGUGGGCCUUCCCCAGCCCACUAACUCAAAUGUUAAUCUCAUUUGGCAACACCCUUACAGACAAACCCAGGAUCAGUAUUUUGCAUCCUUCAAUCAAGUUGACACUUAGUAUUAACCAUCACAAUGUAUGAUUUUUAAAAUCUGCAUUUUUAAUAAGCUACUAGUUUAUUUUUCCACCUAAUCCAAUUCCUAAUUUUAUUUGAAAGCACCAAGGUAAAUAGUUCCUAAAUCACUGUUAUUUAAAUUGUGCUCCAGUACCCCUUAUUCUUGCUGCAAUUCCAAGACAGAGAUAACAAAAAUUUUUUUUUCAAUGUUUUGUUUUUUUGAGACAGAGUCUCGCUGUGUCCCCCAGGCUGGAGUGCAGUGGCUCGAUCUCGGCUCACUGCAAGCUCCGCCUCCCGGGUUCACGCCGUUCUCCUGCCUCAGCCUCCUGAGUAGCUGGGAUUACAGGCAUGUGCCACCACACCCUGCUAAUUUUUUGUAUUUUUUUUUUUAGUAGAGACGGGGUGCAUGCUGCAUGCUCCGCCUCCCGGGCUCUCGCCAUUCUCCUGCCUCAGCCUCCGGAGUAGCUGGGACUACAGGCGCCUGCCACCACGCCCGGCUAAUUUUUUGUAUUUUUACUGGAGACGGGUUUUCACUGUGUUAGACGGGAUAGUAUUGAUCUCCUGACCUCGUGAGCCACCGCGCCCGGCCUGCCAAAAUUUUUAAUGUUUGCAUGUACAUAGUUACUCAACAAAGAGGCCAGGUGUGGUGGCUCACGCCUAUAAUGCCAACACUUUGGGAGGGUUGCCUGAGCCCAGGAGUUCGAGACCAGCCUGGGCAACAUUGUAAGAGCCUGUCUCUUAAAAAUAUAUAUUUUGGGGAGCCAGGUGUGGCACCUCACGCCUGUAAUCCCAACACUGGGAGGCUGAGGUGAGUGGAUUGCUUGAGCUCAGGAGUUCGAGAUCAGCCUGGGCAACAUGGCGAAACCCUGUCUCUACCAAAAAAAAAAAAAAAAAAAAAAGUAGAGGCAUCGUGGUGUGUGCCUGUGGUCCUGGCUACUGGGAAGUCUGAAGUGGGAGGAUCGCUUGAGCCUAGGAGGUGGAGGUUGGAGUACGCCAAGAUCACACCACUGCAUUCCAGCCUUGGUGUCAGAGUUAGACCCUGUCUCAAAAAAUAUAUUUUAAAAUGAUAUUAAGUAAAGAAUAUAGUCCAGCCACAUGAGCAAGUAUUGCUUAUCUAGAAAGACGUAUAAUAAAGUUCUUUUGGGGAGAUAAACUAUGAUCCAUUCUAUGUUUCAUGUAAAUCAGGGGCAGCCAAUCUUCUGGCUUCCUUGGGCCACAUUGGAAGAAUUAUCUUGGGCCACACAUAAAAUACACUAACACUAAUGAUAGCUGAUGAGUUUUUAAAAAGAAUCACAAAAGCAAUGUUUUAGCAAAGUUUAUGAAUUUGUGUUGGGCUGCAUUCAAAGCUGUCCUGGGCCGCAAGGUGGAAAAAACUUGAUCUAAAGUAUUUGAUUUUUUUAGAAAAGUUUUUGAAUGGCCAGGUGUGGUGGCUCACACCUGUAAUCCCAGCACUUUGGGAGGCCGAGGCAGGCGGAUCACGAGAUCAGGAGAUCGAGACCAUCCUGGCCAACAUGCUGAAACUCCAUCUCUACUAAAAUACAAAAACUUAGCCAGGCAUGCUGGCAUGCGCUUGUAGUCCCAGCUACUCGGGAGGCUGAGGCAGGGGAAUCACUUGAACCCAGGAGGCGGAGGUUGCAGUACAGUGAGCCAAGAUCGCGCCACUGUACUCCAGCCUGGUGACAGAGCAAGACUGUCUCAAAAAAAAAAAAAAGGAAGCUUUUGAAUAAGAAGCAACUCUACAGUACUCUAUUGUAGACAACCAAAGUAUUAAUAUUUGGGGGGCACAAUUUCAACCAACUUUAAAUUAUUUCAUUCUGGAAGUAUGUGUUGAGUAAAUAUGAAGUAUAAGGCCCCUAGAGGUACAGAUGGCUAUGGCCGUCUAAACCAUUUUACUCUUAACUUUUAGUGUCAUGGACCUCUUUGUCAAUCUAGUGAAGUCUAUGGACCGCUUUUUUUUAAAAAAGCCUUUAAACAUAUAAAGUACAGUACAUUGAAUUACAAAAGGAUCCAAGAAUAUUGAAAUAGUUACCAAAAAAAUUUGAUAUAGAAAUAUAUGUGGUUUAUUAAUGAAUAAGAUCUAGCAGUGGCCUUACUAUAAUUUCAACACAGUAGCGUGGUGAGCAUAAAUAUUUCAACUUAUCUGCAACAAUUGUAAUGUGAUAUGGAAAUAAUCAGUUUAAUUGUGACAGUCACAUUUACUGCUAACUACUGUGAUUGACUGGCUAUGUUUACAUUUUAUUAGAAGUUAUUGAAAGUAGAUGCCAGGCAUGGUGGCUCAUGCCUGUAAUCCUAGCACUUUGGGAGGCCAAAGUGGGCAGAUCAUUUGAGCCCACGAGUUCGAGACCAGCCUGGCCAACAUGAUGAAGCCCUGUCUCUACUAAAAAUAAAAAAAAAAAUUAGCCUGGCAUGGUGGCCUGCUGUAGUCCCAGCUACUCACAAGGCUGAGGCAGAAGAAUCACUUGAACCAGGGAGGCAAAGAUUGCUGUGAGCUGAGAUCACGCCACUGCACUCCAGCCUGGGCAACAGAGCCCGACCCUGUCUCAAAAUAAAAGAGAGAUGUAAUGGACCCCUUUAAUUAAUCUAUAAACUCCUAAUUAAGAACCCUGGUUAAAAUUUUUUAAUAGGAGCUUGUCUUCUUCACUGUUGUAUCCAAAGCCUGACUGAAAUCUGUAGACACCUAAGCAGUGAAAAAUUUGAUGCCUUAACCUAUAUAAUUUAAAAUCAAAAUAUUUACACUAUAAGGUGAAUUUAAGGAAGAUCUCAUUUUUCUCAUGGUGAAGACUAAGAUACUUUUUCAAAAUUACUAAAUUUUCAUUUGUUUCAUCAGGGAUGAGGUUGGGGGAGGAUCUAGCUCCUUUAUUAAUACCUGAAUAUAUAGGUUUUAAUAUCCAAGCUUGACUAUAUCCACUACACUUGGUACACAACAGAACAAAUGAAUGAACAUUUUCAUGCCUGUAAUCCUAGCACUUUGAGAAGCCAAGGCAGGAGGAUUGCUUAAGCCCAGGAGCUUGUGACCAGCUUGGACAACAUAGGGAGACCUUAUCUCGACAAUAAAUUUAAAAAUUAGCUGGUUGUGGUGGCACGUGCUGGUAGUCCUAGCUACUGGGGAGGCUAAGGUGAGAGGAUCGCUUGAGCCCAAGAGGUUGAGGCUGCAGUGAGCCAUGAUCAUGCCACUGCACUCCAACUUGGGCUACAGAGCAAGACCUUGUCUCUCAACUAAAAAUAAAAAAUAAAAUUCACGAUACUCCCCAAAAGCUGAUGAUAACAUGUAAGAAGCGACUUGAUUUUACCUUCUAACUCUCCCUCCCUUUUAGCACAAUGCUGCAAAAUGACUGGCUCAUAAACCACUAAGCUGCCUUGGCAGCCACUUGUUAUUGUUACCAGUAGGUAAUAUGCUGUUUUCUUCUGCUUGGCACAUAAGCAGUAGGCAUGAAAUAAUUGCUUAAUGGAUAAGUAAGUUGUUAAAUUAUAAAACUCUGAUGGAUUGCUUAGUCCUUUAACAAUUUACACCCCCCUCCCACUUAUCCAAUUCUUUUGUGACAGAUUUUGCACUAGCAAAGUGCACUGUUUCAGACAAUCAAGGAAAUAAAACAUUUCUUGAUGAAAUCCUACCUCGCCUCAACAGGAAACUGAAUUGGAGUCCUCAAUUCUCAGUACAUCAGAACUAGUGUGUGAAAGGAUCAGGAGAGGACCAUAGUAUUGGAGAAUAAAACAUUAUGUAUUGAUGGUUGAGCUUUAUGUCAUCGUGUAGUAAAUGCUAUGACCAUAAAGCCAUUACUGUUAACACUUAAGUUUAUCUUCUGAAAGAAGCCUAUGAAAUAUCUCCAGAAAGACUAGGGGAUUUUCUUCUGUUUGUUUGUUUGUUUGUUUGAGAUGGAGUUUGCUCUGUUGCUCAGGCUGGAGUACAGUGGUGCGAUCUCGGCUCACUGCAACCUCUGCCUCCCAGGUUCAAGUCAUUCUCCUGCCUCAGCCUCUGGAGUAGCCAGGACUACGCACUGCGCCACCACACCCAGCUAAUUUUGUAUUUUUGGUGCAGACAGGGUUUCCCCAUGUUGGCCAGGCUGGUCUUGAACUCCUGGCCUCAAGUGAUCCGCCCACCUCGGCCCAAAGUGCUGGCCACCGCGCCCAGUCAGACUUGUUUUUUAGUGAAAUAAAUUGUUUUCCUUUAGGACCUUAUUCUUUAUGAUAACAGAUUCCAAGAAUAUGCAGUCUUGUCAAUGGCUGUUUCAUCCUCAGUUUCUUUAAAAAUAAAAUACAAUUAGAACAUUUUUAGAUAUGCUAUAUCUAUCCAAUCUAUUUUCCUGUCACCCAGUAAGGUUUUCUAUCAUCAGCACAGGUCUAUGAAAGGACAGUAAAGGGUCUCCUGUUACAUACCCUAGCACUAAUGUUUGUAAUAGAAUGUUAAGAUAAGUUGUUUCAUGUAAUCGGACUACAUUCAGUCUUUCUCUACCCUCUGUCCUCUAUUUACCCACCUAUGCAUGUGGCCUACUAAUUAUAUUGACUGUACAUGACCAGCAAGUUGUAAGUUCUUUUAAAAGCAGGAGCUCAACCAUAUUUGUAUUCACAUUUCCUUCUGCUUAAAACAGGGCUCUUGUUUCUUCAGUAAAUAUUCAUUCGGUAUCCACUAGGUGUCAGAUAAUAUACAAGGUAGGUUCUAGGGAUUCCAAGAUAAAUAAACACAGAUAUGCCAAUAUGAGUCUGACAGUUUUGGCGGGGAGAGGUGGAAAAUAGAUCUGCAAGCCAAAAAAGCUACAGUAGAAUAAUAUAAAUAUUGUAAUGGCAAUAAAAUACCAGAACUAUUAAUUUUACAUUUAGUAAUCAUUCAGUAUCAAUUAAAUGGGUAAAAUGGAUAUGUUGGCAUGAAUGACAUAUAACUGAAAAAACACUAAGAACUGUAUAGAAACUGAAUUAGACAUAUGAGUAAUAUUAGUAGGAAGGGGAGAGAAUAUUUGAUUCCAGGUAGGCUACCAAGCAGGAUGUUUUUUCAGCACAGCCUUGGAAUAAAAUCUGUAACCUUUGAAAACAAUCACAUUUUUGUUCUUAUGCAAUCUUUGUUUUUAAAUGUAUUUAUUGUUUUGGCUCUAGUCCCUGAAUGUUAAAAUUUUAGUGUCAGUGUUAAUUCUCACUUAUCUUCUCCAGACCUUACUCCCUAAUUUUCUCAUUUUCAUUUGCCCCAAUAAGUGCCAACCUUACCUUGAAUAGAAUAGUGGAUUUAUCAGCUUACAAGGACUAAAAAGUCGUCAUUUCCAAAAACAUCUGUCCAAUAAGUCUGCCUCAGUGACUACAUUUCUAGCAUUACAAUGUCAUUCUUAGUACACUGAUUUGAUCUUUACAAAUUACAUAAAUGUAUAAAAUUGUCGCAUGUACCCUAAAUUAUAUACAUCUAUUAUGUAUGUAUCAAUAAAAAAAUAAUUUUCUGUGCUUUUUCUCCUGUUAAAAAGAAUUCUUUUCUUUUUGAGACAGGGCCUGGCUCUGUCACCCAGGCUGGAGUGCAGUGGUGCAAUCUUGGCUCACUGCAGCCCCUGCCUCCCAGGCUGAAGUGAUCCUCCCACCUCAGCCUCCUGAGUAGUUGGGACUACAGAUGGGUACCACCAUGCCUGGCUAAGUUUUUGUAGAGACAGGGUUUUGCCAUGUUGUCCAGGCUGGUCUCAAACUCCUGAGCUCCAGCAGUCUUCCUGGCUUGGCUUCCCAAAGCGCUGGGAUUACAGGUGUGAGCCACCACACCCAGCUGAUUCUUUAGAAGACCAGUAUUGCAUUGUGAUUGCCUCUGGGCAGGAAAACUAAGGGGCAUCAGUAGACUAUGCAAUUACUUUCUUCCUCUUUAAAAAAGUAUUGUUAAUUUUUAAAUUUACAUAUUUUGGUAUACAAUUCUAUGAGUUUUGACAAAUGCAAAGAAUCAUAUAACCACCGCCAUAAUUGAGAUACUAAACAAUUCUAUCACCUCAAAAAAAAUCCUCUUGAGCUGUCUCAUUUAUAAUUUUUGUGAUUAAAAAUGGUUAUUUUUCAAAAAGUAACGUUUGGGCCAGUGCGCCUGGAGUGCACCAGUAGUCCCAGCUACUAGGGAGGCUGAGGCAGGAGAAUUGCUUGAACCCGGGAGGUGGCGAUUGCAAUCAGCUGAGAUCACACCACUGCACUCCACCCUGCAUAUAGUAGUGUUUCUUAAUGUUUUGGAUCCAUGGACUUAUAAAAAUUUUAUAAAAGCUAUGGCUACAUCCAGGAUGUUACCUCCCUCCCCUGCCACACACAAAAGGAAACAGCCAAGUCCCUCCCCUCACUCUAACCAUUCCCACAUCUAUAUUUGUGUAAAACCCAUGAUUUUAAACUGUUUGCAGCCCCUCUGUAAUCCAUUCACAUGACCCAAGAACUCAGCCCUGGAAACAUCUCUGGGUAUCCAGGUAGACUAAAAGCAUAGUUCCAUUAAUUUAUAGUGCUAUAUGGUUCUGCCAUGCUUUAUUGGUCCUUUAUAGACUUGAGAAAAUCACACCAUGCCUCUUGACCAUUAACAAAUGGUCAUGUUCAGUCUUCCUUUUUAUGAGUGGAAAUUCCAUCCAAUUUGCUUUUAGGUUCAUUAAUAUGUACUACAACCAAAAGAUCAGCAGCAUUAUAUACUUUAUCUUUUUUAGUCUUUUGAAGUACAAAUUAUGCGAUUUUACAGAUAAAUUAUCUCAUGGGUAGCAUAUGUCUGGCUUUCUAGGUGGAAUGAUUCCUAUUUCUUUUUGUACCUCUCCCCAUUCAGAACUCACUUUGAGGCCAAGCGUGGUUGCUCAGGCCUGUAAUCCCAGCACUUUGGGAGGCCGAGGCAGGUGGAUCACCUGAGGUCAGGAGUUGGAGACCAGCCUGGCCAACACGACAAACCCCGUCUCUACUAAAAAUACAAAAAUUAGCCUGGCAUGGUGGCACACACCUGUAAUUCCAGCUGCUCGGGAGGCUGAAGCAUGAGAAUCACUUGAACCUGGGAGGCAGAGGUUGCAGUGAGCCAAGGUUGCAGUGGAUCAAGAUCACACCACUGCACUCCAGCCUGGGCAAUAGAGUGAGACUCUGUCUCAAGAAGAAGAAAAAGAAAAAAAACUCACUUUAAACUCUGCUAGACCAUUGCCCUUGUAUGUGAAAUUUUAUCUGGAUAGAAGAAGAUGAGGAAAAAAAUUUUCUUGUCUUUUAGUGGAGGAGAAUGACAUGUAAAACAAGUAUUCUUUAAAAAUUCCAAAUAUGAUAUGAGAACUACCCCAUAAAGUUGUGAAGGUCACAUUGGUGAAAGGAAAACUAAGUGCUGUGUAAAUUACAAAGUUGUCUAAGUAUCCACCUGGUCCUUACCUUGCUAUAGAAUCUUUUUUUUUUUUAGACGGAGUCUAGCUCUGUCGCCCAGGCUGGAGUGCAGUGGCGCAAGCUCCGCUUACUGCAAGCUCCGCCUCCUGGGUUCAUGCCAUUCUCCUGCCUCAACCGCCCGAGUAGCUGGGAUUACAGGUGCCCACCACCACGCCCAGCUAAUUUUUUUUUUUUUUUUGUAUUUUUAGUAGAGACGGGGUUUUCCCAUGUUAGCCAGGAUGGUCUUGAUCUCCUGACCUCGUGAUCUGCCCACCUCGGCCUCCCAAGGUGCUGGGAUUACAGGUGUGAGCCACCACGCCCAGCCUACCUUGCUAUAGAAUCUUUAGGCCUAAUAUAGUCUAGCCAGAACAGCUAUUUGGAUGCUUGCCUAAUCUUCAAUACUGGUUUCCCUUUUAUACAUGACUGCAAAACUGACUCUCACCUAGGUUUGUGAUGUUAGAAACUCCAGUUGUUUACUAUUAUUAUUAAAGUGGGAAACGGAGUUCGUUGAUCAAAUGGAUUAAUGUUUUGAGUACUUACUAUACACCAGGGGCUCUUAAAUUUUUACAUAAACUUUCUGGAUGGAGAGUGAUAGAAUCUCCAUUGUUCACUUGCCACAAGCCACACCAUUUGUAGCUAACAUUUGAAUGCUUACUAUGAGCAAAGGCACUGUUCCAAGGGCAUUACAUGCACAUCAUUCAUAUUUCUCAUUUAAUCUUUAUAACAACUCCUUAAAAUACUGGUAGUAUUCUUGUUCCCUAAUUUGUCAAUAAGAAAACUGAAAUUUAGAGAUUAUACAAUUUGCCCAGCACUAUUGGAAAGCUGGGACUUUGAAACCUGGCUGAUUUGACUCCAAAGUCUGCACUCUAUUCCAACAGACUGCCAGUGCCUCCAGAAUUAAUUAGCAUUAAUAUUUUCUGUUGUUUAUGAUCUAAGUAUGGCUGUCCAUGGCAGGGAGUUAAUGAGGGAGGCAUUAAUGGGGAAACACUGGACCACUUCUGAGAGAUGUGGUGCCCUCCCUCACAAACAGGUUUCUUGUGGUGAAAUCAGGUUGGAAGGAUAAGAGAGGCUGAAGAAGGUGGAGGUGGUGUAGUUGGGCCUGUUUAGGAACUGAUUACAUCUGAGCCUCUGGCCCUUUUUCCUGCCAGCUGACUCAGAGCUGGCAGAUGGGCCAAAGUCCAGGCAGGUUGAUUUCAUGGGCUGUAUACUUCAAAGGAUCUGAUUCCUGGUGCUACUAAGCACAUUGCUUUUCCGAAGGCACAGUCUUGUGGGGGAGGGAACAGGAUGGUCUCCAUGAGGUGUUUGUGAAAGCCCUAGGCAAUGUUUGCUCUAAUCCAAAUAUAUACAGCUUGUUUUGAGUUUGGCAAUAAAACACAGAGCCAGCCCUAAGCAGGGCUGAAAACUGAGUAUUUAAACCUUAAGUAUUCUGCAAUACAACAACAGUUAAGUAUAUGGGUCCUAGAGUCAGAUAGAACUGAAAUCUAAUCUUGACUUCACCACUCAGCUGUAGAUAAAUUACUAGACCUCAGUUUUCUUGUUCGUGAAAUGGGGAUUUUAGUUAUAGAGUACCUACUUCAUAUGGUUGUCGUGAGGAUUAAACAAAAAUGUAUACCACAGUACCUGAGAUGUAGUAAACACUCUUGAAACAUUAGUCAUUAUUCAUUUUUUAAAUUUUUCCUUCAAAUACUUUCCUAUCCAAUAGUCAUUAUUCAUUGAAAACUUCUAUUUUAUAAGACGAUCUCAGCACUUAAACAAAAUAAAUUGAUUCAUCAUGUUUUCACUUAACAGGCAUUCAAAAGGCAUUUAUUAUUGUGUUGGGUAGAUGGAUGGAGAAAAUAGCAAUAAUUUUUGUUGAACACCUAAAAUGAGCCAAACUUUUUAAAAAAUAUUGUCUCAUUUUAUGCUCACAACAGCUCUAUGAAGUAUUUUCCUAUAUUAUAGAUGAGAUCAUGGGCCAAGAGAGGAUUAGCAACAUGCCUAAGAUCAUAUAGUCAGCACUGUCUAAUUCUGAAGCCUAUGAAUAAGGUAGCAUUUAUCCCCACGGAAGCAUGGUAUUCAGCAGGCAGGCAGACACAUAAACAAGUACAGCUGGCCCAUCUAGCCUCACGUUCUGCAUCCAUGGAUUCAACCAAAAAUGGAUUUAAAAUAUUGGGGAAAAAACAAAUAAUAAAACAACUAAAAAAUACAAAUUUUAAAAUAUAGUAUAACAACUACUUACAUAGCUUUUACAUUGUAUUAGGUAUUAUAAGUAAUGUAGAGAUGGUUUAAAGUAUACAAGAGAGUCUGGACACAGUGGCUUAUGCCUGUAAUCCCAGCUUUUUGGGAGGCCAAGGUGGGUGGAUCCCUUGAGCCCAGGAGUUUGAGACCAGCCUGAGCAACAAGAUGAAACCCUGUCUCUACAAAAAAUACAAAAAUUAGCCAGAUGUGUUGGUGCAUGCCUGUGGUCCCAGCUACUCGGGAGAGUGAGGUGGGAGAAUCACUUGAGCCUCAGAGAUCGAGGCUGCAGUAAGCUGUAAUCACGCCACUGCACUCCAGCCUGGGUGACAGAGUAAGACCCUGUCUCAAAAGUAAUAAUAAUAAUAAAGUAUACAAGAGGAUGUCAUAUGUUAUAUGCAAAUAUUAUACCUUUUUUUUUUUUUUUUUUUGAGACAGUCUCUUGCUCUGUUGCCCAGGCUGGAGUAGAGUGGUGCUAUCAUAGCUGACUGUAACCUCGAACUCUUUCCUGAACUUGAGUGAUCUUCCUGCUUCAGCCUCCCAAGUAGCUGAGACUACAGGCAUGUGCCAUCACAUCCAGCUAAUUUUUAAUUUUUAAUUUUUUUUGUAGAGAUGGGGUCUCACUGUGGUGCCCAGGCUGUUAUGCCAUUUUAUAUAAGGGACUUGAACAUCUGCAGAUUUCAAGGGGAAAGAGUUUGAGGUUACAGUCAGCUAUGAUAGCACCACUCUACUCCAGCCUGGGCAACAGAGCCAGAGACUGUCUCAAAAAAAAAAAAAAAAAGAGGAGAGUCCUGGAACCAACUCCCCACAGUUAUGGAGGAAGGACUGUACCUACAGUCAAAGUGCUGUCGUUGAGUUUUACACUAGGUGCUUGGGAGAACAGAAUGGAAUAGGUGAACUCUGGGCAUGAAGUGAAGGUAGUCCCCUUCACAGGAAUAAAUGCUAAUAAUGGGGCUUCAGGUGAGAAUGAGGAAGGAAGCCUUUGCUGGUGGAGGAGUUAAGGGAGUUCUUUCUGGGUUUCCCUAAGUCACACUAGAAGAAAAGGGUUACAGGGAGGCCUUUCUGGAAUUCCUCAAGUCAAUAUGACAGCCUCUUAGAUCCAGCAUUACAACUGCAGCAAAUUUUAUAGCUGCAAACAAAGAAACUGUCUCCAGAGAGACAGAUUAUGUUGUUUACUUGAGGCAAAAUGGUGGGGGUUCUAUAUAAAUGAUAUGUCUGCAUCCGAAUCAUCUGUACCUUUUUGGGCUUUAGAACCAAACCUAAUAGUAAUAAUAGCAACCAAUUCUUAACUGCAUGAUCAUUAGGUACUAAUCACUGCUAUGUUCACAGGCUAGAACUCUCAACUGGAGAAAGGUAGAGUUGUUUGUCUAAAUCAAUAAUCUCAAAUUAAGUACACUUAAUUUGAGCAUAUACCCCCAAUAUAUGUAUAUUACUUUAUAAGUUAUACACAUCCACUAUUGGGCUAAUAUAAAAUAUACAUUAUGAAAUGUAAACAAAAAGUUUGAAGGAAUACAAUGAAAAUGAAUAAACUUUUAUCUCAGGGAAAAUAUAUACUUAGGUUUCUGUAUCUUGUUAUUAAGUGGAUACAAAUUAAUACUGUAUUUCAAAUAGAUUUUUUAAUAGUUUUGGAUGUUUUGAGUCAGCUGGUCAGAUUUUGUUAAUCAUUGUAUUUAACUUCAUAAUGUGACUGAUGAAGGGAUCAUACUAAGUAAAAGUGUCAGUUCUGCCAUUUGAGAGUGGGGGAUCCUAUGUAUCAUCUUCAAUUCACAGGGUUUUCUUUUUCCCAGCAAUUUUUUAAAACCAAUUAUUCACUUUGUAAUAUUUCAUUUUGUUAAAGUUAGAUUUUAAAAAUCCAUAAAUCCCCUUUUGAACCACAAUAUGUCACUAAUGCUCAAAGAAAGAAACUCCAUUUGUAUCUCAUCUGAUGUGAGCGUCAAAUAUAGAAACAAUGUGGGGAUGCCAACCUCAAUCCAUAUGGAUGAAUAGGGCUUAAUUUUCUCAUGAUAAACCUAAGUAGAAGCUAUGAAAAUUCUUACCACACUUCAGUGAAUUAUCUUGUAUACCUCUAGAGUGAGCACAUUCCACUUUGGAGAUCAGUAGUCUCAGCAACAAGACCUGUGGCCAUAAAGUGGGAAUAAACAAUCCAAUUUUUAGCAAUGCUUGGCCCAGAUUCACUUAUGAGUGACAUGAGAAAGGUACAACAUGAUAUUCCAGGAAAUCAGAAGAGCUAAGUAUAUCUGAACCUUUGAGAGUAUGGCCUGUCCAUACAAAGGCAGAAUCUACAUUUGUCAAGUGCCUUCAAGAAACAUUCUACCAAGAUAUGCACCUCCACAAAAGUAAGAAAAAGAGAAAAAAAAGAUUUUAAAAUUUUAUUUUAUUUUUUUGAGAUGGAGUCUCGCUCUGUCCCCCAGGUUGGAGUGCAGUGGCGCUAUCUCAGCUCACUGCAAGCUCCGCCUCCCAGGUUCACUCCAUUCUCCUGCCUCAGCCUCCCAAGUAGCUGGGACUACAGGCGCCCACCACCACACCCGGCUAUUUUUUUUUUUUUGUAUUUUUAGUAGAGACGGGGUUUCACCGUGUUAGCCAGGAUGGUCUCAAUCUCCUGACCUCGUGAUCCACCCACCUUGGCCUCCCAAAGUGCUGGGAUUACAGGCGUGAGCCACCGCACCUGGCCUUUAAAAUUUUAUUUUUAAAAAAUCACACACACACAAAAUACAUUCUACUUUUUAAGAAAAUUGACUUAGAUUUAAUCCCAGCUCUGCUAUUUGCUAACCAUGCAAUUUUGGGAAAGUAACGACCUAUUGGAGCCUGUUUCCCAUCUCCAAAGUGAGAAUGAUUAAUGCUAUACCUACUUCACUGAGAAGAAGAGUGUAUCAUGGUCAUAUUGACCCCUCACUAUGUGCAUAGAGAUGCUGAGCUAAACUCUUUACAAGCGUUUAUUUAAUCCUCAAUAUACCAGUGACUAGAGGCUAAGCAGUUUACCAAAGCAUUUUCCUUUCCCUCCUUAGCACACAGGACUAUAUUUCCUGGCCUCCUUUGCAGUUAGGUGCAGCCACAUUACUGUGUUCUAGCCAUUGAAAUAUGGAAAGAAAUGAUCAAUACUACCUCCAGCCCUGGCCCAUAAAACUUUCCUUUCCAUUCUUCGUGCUCUCAUUCUUCCUUCAUCUGCCGGAGGAUUCAGCAGAACCAUUAGGUGCACAGAGCUCUUCUCUCCUCCCACUACUUCCAACGUGCAUUGAACUGUGAUGUGAGCCAGAAAUAAACUCUUAUUGUGUUAAAU